AACGAACGCUGGCGGCGUGUUUAAGACAUGCAAGUCGCACGGUGUCAUUUUGGUAGCAAUACUUGAAUGGCAUAGUGGCGCACGGGUGAGUAACACGUGAAUUACAUGCCCUAUAGAGGGGGAUAGCCCAGGGAAACUUGGAUUAAUACCCCAUGGUCUCGCAAGAGUAAAGGUGGCCGCAAGGCUGUCGCUAUAGGAUUGGUUCGCGCCCUAUCAGCUUGUUGGCGGGGUAACGGCCCAACAAGGCUACGACGGGUACCUGGUCUGAGAGGACGAUUAGGCACACUGGAACUGAGACACGGUCCAGACACCUACGGGUGGCAGCAGUCGAGAAUAAUUCACAAUGGGGGCAACCCUGAUGGUGCAACGCCGCGUGGAGGAUGACGGUCUUCGGAUUGUAAACUCCUGUCAUCCGGGAGUAAGACCUGGGAGUUAAUAGCUCACAGGGUUGAUAGUACCGGAAGAGGAAGGGACGGCUAACUUCGUGCCAGCCGCCGCUGUAAAAC
rnacentral:rRNA from 1 species